rnacentral:rRNA from 1 species
CUACGGGUCGCUCCAGUGGGGAAUCUUAGACAAUGGGGGAAAACCUGAUCUAGCCAUGCCGCGUGAGCGACGACGGCCCUAGGGUUGUAAAGCUCUUUCAGCAGGGAAGAUAAUGACGGUACCUGCAGAAGAAGUCCCGGCUAACUCCGUGCCAGCAGCCGCGGUAAUACGGAGGGGACUAGCGUUGUUCGGAAUUACUGGGCGUAAAGCGCGCGUAGGCGGAUUGUUAAGUCGGGGGUGAAAUCCCGGGGCUCAACCCCGGAACUGCCCUCGAUACUGGCAGCCUUGAGUUCGAGAGAGGUGAGUGGAAUUCCGAGUGUAGAGGUGAAAUUCGUAGAUAUUCGGAGGAACACCAGUGGCGAAGGCGGCUCACUGGCUCGAUACUGACGCUGAGGUGCGAAAGCGUGGGGAGCAAACAGGAUUAGAUACCCGAGUAGUC